CGGGCCCGGAGCGCUGUCUGA
rnacentral:miRNA from 1 species